AUUUCAAUUAUAUUAAGCACAUAAAUGUAUUACCUUUCAUUUCGGGCAUACAGAGGCGAUGUCUGCAAUAAUAUCCGAUGGAUUUCGUCCAACUGUAUUGAUCACGGUGUACACUCGAUAAUCCGGAUAGAUCCGUCGGAUAUGCCGGAAAUUGCGGUCUCACUGUCGUAUGACGCUGUUGGUGAAGCAAGUGUUGCUGCUGGCAUAUGUAAUUUGAAUAAUACGGAUCAUCAUAGGCUAUUAAAUGACCCGAUGGAGACGCUAAAGAAUUCGAUAUUGCAACUGUAACAAAUUUAAAUUUUGGGUCGUUCGAUGUAAAACAUACCAAAUUCAAGAAGCCCUGUGGAUGCGAUAUGAUGCGUGGAAAGGUCGAUUCUGUAUGCAUACAUGAGAAAUUUUGUAAUUUUAUAUAUUAUCUAUAAUUACAAAAUAUAUUAAAGGCAUUGAUGUA